rnacentral:rRNA from 1 species
CAGCAGCCGCGGUAAGACGGAGAGGGCAAGCGUUGUUCGGAUUUACUGGGCGUAAAGGGUAUGUAGGUGUCCUGAUAAGCUCUGGGUGAAAUCUCCGCGCUCAACGCGGAAACGAAUCAGAGAACUAUCAGGAUUGAGUUCAGGAGAAGAGAGUGGAAUUCUCGGUGGAGCGGUGAAAUGCGUAGAUAUUGGAAAGAACACCGAUGGCGAAGGCACUUUACUGGGCUAUUACUGACACUCAGAGACGAAAGCUAGGGUAGCAAAUGGGAUUAGAUACCCCAGUAGUCCUAGCCGUAAACAAUGGAUACUAGAUGUUGAACAGAUCGACCUGUGCAGUAUCAAAGCUAACGCGUUAAGUAUCCCGCCUGGGAAGUAUGCUCGCAAGAGUGAAACUCAAAGGAAUUGACCGGGGCCCGCACAAGCGGUGGAACAUGUUGUUUAAUUCGAUGCAACGCGAAGAACCUUACCAGGGUUUGACAUGAUACGAAUUUUUGUGAAAGCAAGAAGUGCCGUUUGGAACGUAUACACAGGUGGUGCAUGGCUGUCGUCAGCUCGUGUCGUGAGAUGUUGGGUUAAGUCCCGCAACGAGCGCAACCCUUGUUUUUAGUUGCCUUUAUAGGAACUCUAGAAAGACUGCCGGUUAUAAACCGGAGGAAGGCGGGGAUGACGUCAAGUCAGCAUGCCCCUUACACCCUGGGCUACACACGUGCUACAUUGGGCGAGACAAUGAGAUGCAAACUUGCGAAGGUAAGCUAAUCUAUAAACUCGUUCUAAGUUCGGAUUGUAGGCUGCAACUCGCCUACAUGAAGUUGGAAUCGCUAGUAAUCGCUGGUCAGCUAUACAGCGGUGAAUUCGUUCCCGGGCCUUGUACACACCGCCCGUCACACCAUGGAAGUUGGUUAUACCCGAAGUCGUUACUCUAACCAGAAUUUAUUCGGGAGGAGGAUGCCUAAGGUAGAACUGAUGACUGAGGUGAAGUCGUAACAAGGUAACCGUA